UACGUAGGGUGCAAGCGUUGUCCGGAAUUAUUGGGCGUAAAGAGCUCGUAGGCGGUUUGUCGCGUCUGCUGUGAAAUCUGGAGGCUCAACCUCCAGCCUGCAGUGGGUACGGGCAGACUAGAGUGCGGUAGGGGAGAUUGGAACUCCUGGUGUAGCGGUGGAAUGCGCAGAUAUCAGGAAGAACACCGGUGGCGAAGGCGGGUCUCUGGGCCGAUAUUGACGCUGAGGAGCGAAAGCGUGGGGAGCGAACAGG
rnacentral:rRNA from 1 species